GUUGGAGUUGGAGCUAAGGUGUGAAUGUUGGAGGUAUAGGUAUAAGUGGCAGAUUAGGUGGUCGGCGGAAUUUCUGAGUGUCAAAUUUACUUUGUUGAGUCUGUAAUUCUGUAGCCACUCCUGAGGUAUUUCAAUUCGUUGCAGAGUGAGCGCUUUUCUGGUUGUUACUUCUCUGACAUGAACAUGGUCAUUUUGGCGCCAACUGGAAGCGGCAAAACAGUGUUAUUUGAGCUAUGUAUCUUAAAGCUCCUUUCCUGGUUCCUUUCUCAGGAUGGAAGGUUCCUUCAUAUGAAGGGUACACUGAAAACAGUCUCGACGUUUUUUGUGCGCACUGACAAGACACUAGCCUUUUUUUAGAUCAAUUGAUGGUCGAUUAGGUUGAACUAAUAUCAAGAACAUGUUCUCAAAAAUUGCUCACAGUUUGUGGAAACCUUGAACGCAUUGGGAUAUGACCUUGUUUCCGGUGGUACUGAGAACCAU